rnacentral:rRNA from 1 species
UACGAAGGGGGCGAGCGUUGUUCGGAUUUACUGGGCUUAAAGGGCGCGUAGGCGGGUGCUCAAGUCCGUGGUGAAAUCCUCCGGCUCAACCGGAGAACUGCCUCGGAUACUGGGCGUCUCGAGUGUGGUAGGGGUAUGCGGAACUAUCGGUGGAGCGGUGAAAUGCGUUGAUAUCGAUAGGAACUCCGGUGGCGAAGGCGGCAUACUGGACCACCACUGACGCUGAUGCGCGAAAGCCAGGGGAGCGAACGGG